rnacentral:lncRNA from 1 species
UUGUACUUGCCUGGAGCUCUGAGGUUGAUAGGCACGAUGGAGCUUCUAUUGAAUGUUUAAGGCCUUACUGACUGACUGAGCUAUAGGCGACGUGAAGGCUGUUCUAUUAUCAGACUUUAUGGCAGCAGGCAGCCUAUACUGAACGAUGAUUUCAUUGUGUAAAAACUUAACUACUGUGUUGGUGGUUUCGUUUUCGGUAGCAAAUGCCUUAGUCUAUCUGGAGAAGGUGUCUACUAGUACUAGAAGGCAUUUGUACUUAGCCUGGUGUGGUUUGACUUCUGUAAAGUCAAUUUCUUACUUUUUUCUUGGCGAGGUUUUUCAGAGACAGUGGCCUGGGCUGGGUUUAGGACUUUGUUUGGCAUUUACUUGGGCGCAGGUUGUGAACUGGAGAGCUGCUUAAUCUGUUAGGCUUUGAAGACGGGGGAUCUUAAAAUGGCUCCGCAGGAGCUGAGGUAGCUUUGCUCUUUUUAAGUGGGUGGUAGACUGUAGGUGACGGACUAAAUUUUCUUUAAGGGUUCAGGAUAUGAAGCGUCUAGAGUCAGGAAGAAUCUACUAACUUUCCUGAUUUUUAUUGACUCUGAGAUCUGAAGCCAGUUUUUUGUUGUUGUUGUUGAGUGUACGGGAUUGUCAGGCAGAUCUGGCUGUGGAAAGGAGACUGUGGGCAGCAAGUUUAGAGGCGUGACUGAAAGUCUCGCUGCGACCUGAGCUGCUGAAUCAGGUUUCUGGUUACUAUGGGCAACGGCCGUGUUUUCUUUUUGAUGUCCUUUGCAGUGGAUCACAGCUACCUGCUGAGACAGACAAGGAGAGGGUUUCCUGUGAUGGGAUCAGUCAGAUGCCUGCCUGGCCACUCCCCCUGAGGGGACCUGGGCUCCUCUUACCAUUGGCAGGCCGGUAUAAACUUGCGGCUCAGAUCAAGCUAUGCCUGAUGCUGCCUUAAGCCUUAUGAGGUCGCCAAGGAACCGCAGGUGAGGAUUCAGGAGAUAAUUCUGCAAACAGAACUUCCUGAGAACUGAGAUGGGGGAAAUCGCUGGUAUUAGAAGAGUGAAAAGAAACUCCUGGAGGGCAGAGGCAUGCCUGCCAUCUUCAUCAAUGCAUUACCACCACCCAACACUAUCGGGGGACCUGCCCUGAUAAUCAGUCUACAGGUGAAUCCAGCAGCUCCAGAGAGACAGCGACCAGCGAGAAGGGGCCAUGAUGAUGGUGGUGGUUUUGUCAAAACGAAAAGGGGGAUA